ensembl:lncRNA zinc finger protein 70
GCGUCAGCAGCCGCAGCCGAGCGAGGCCACGGCCGCGGGCAGGAGCAGCUCAGGUGCGGCCCCGCCCUGCUCGCCCGCGGCCCCGCCCCCGCUCAGGUGAGCGGCCCCGCCCCGGCCUAGAAUCUGAGAGCAGUAAGUGUGUCCCAAAGAGAAACAGUCACUAGGGGUGAGCCUGGACCCACAAUGGAGAUUCCCCCGGCAGCCAAGCUGGGUGAGGCCUUCGUGUUUGAGGAUGGGUUGGAGAUGCAGACAAACCUUUUCCCGGAGGAGGACCCGGGGGACCCUUUUCUUCAGGAAAGGGGUUUAGCACAGAUGACUGUCAUCUACAAGGAGAUCCCUCUGGGGGAGCAGGACGAUUAUGAGGGGAAUAUCAGUCUGUGCUCAAGCCCUGUCCAGCAUCAGAGCAUCCCCUCAGGAGACAGACCCCAGGACGAUGAGCCGUCCAGCCCAACCUUCCUCCAGAAAUCAGACCUGAGUAUGUGCCAGAUAACCCACAGCGAGGAAGCGUCUGAAUCCAGAAGAAGAAUAAACGUCAGAGGGAGAAAGUGGAGUUAAACCCAUGAAAAUGUCAGAUGAGCUCUAACAUCAGGCACUUUUAGAAGAAGUAACCGUGUCGCGGUCCAAUCAACUGAAGGAAAAUGGAUCCAAAGUAGACGCGUCAGCAGCCCACCUCGGGCACUGGUGGGGACGGCCAGCUCAGGUGACAGAGCAGAGGGAGGGUCUGGAGGACUCAUCCUGGGUGUGGGGGUGAGGCCCCCUUGUGCUCUCUCAGCCCUCGACGUGGGUUAGCUGAGGGCGGUUCUGGCCAGCAGCUCUUCCAGGAGGUGGAGAUGUGGUCCUGGAGGCCGGCGGACGGUGCAGCCUGGCUCUGGCCCAGCCCGGGCAAAGGCUUACUGCCCACCCAGGGGUAACCCUCCACCAGACCUAGGGCCCCAACCACAGCGUGCCUUGGACAUCAUCGGGGUCCGUCUCUGGUCGGUGCUUUGCAGCCUCCCCUCCACCCUCCAGUGCAAGGGGAUAGAAGGUGAUUCGGUCAGGUCUGGGUUCAAGUUCCAGUUAUGGCCCCUCCCUCAUGACCCCUUCCGUGAGGUGGGCAUAUUGGGACUGGCCACAUUCCCCUAAGGGCUGGUGCAAGGCUCCUGUUCAGAGUGGGACCACGCAUGAAUGUGCUUUGUCGGCUGGCGAUUGAGGAUGGAGACCCACAGUGACCGCUGCCCCACCUGCAGGGGAGGUGCAUCCCUGUCUGGUUCCCGACAUGGCAGGGCCCCCCCUUUCAGCCAGGCUUUCCCUUCCUCCCUCCCUCCAGCUUGUGUCCUGGGUGCGGCGCCCUGGGCAGGACACUUCCUGCACGCUGUCCCCGCAGCGGCAGUGUGUCUGCGUCCUGUCCUUCUCUCUGUCCUCCCCACUGGGGGUUGUUUAAUGAGGACCAUUGUCUGCGUCCUGCCCUGACCAGUUCAGUUGGGCAUCCCCAGAGGUGGGGCUCCGACAGUGGCAUGUUUUUAAAGCUCCCCAGGUGAUUAGAAGGUUCCCCUGCAUAGCAGGCUGUGAGCCCAUGCUGGCUCCCAGGCAGCCCCAGCAUCUCCCAGAUGGCAUCGUCCAGAGCAGAGCUUGAAGGUGGCCAUCCUGUCUCAGACCUCUGCCCACCACCCCAGGGAUGGGCUCAGGCAGUGCCGUGUCUGGCUGGUUGGUAAGCGUUUGUCCCAGGCCUUUGUGUGUCCACGAGGAUCUUUAGUUCUGGCUCCCCGGGCUCCUCAGAGCUAGUGUGGGGAGGACGCAGUCAGAGCUAUUUUGAAGCUUUCUGAGUCUCUGGCUGAAAUCCCACGAACCCAUCAUGGUCACACUAGUUAUUUCAGCUUAUGAGAAGCUCAGCUGGGCAGCUGUGUAUAGUUUAGAUGAAUGAAAAUGGGAAAGCCAUAGUGGUUACUUCUUAAGUGGAACUUGGUAGGCCAGAGAUGUUAAAACGACAGGUCUGUUGGGCUGGGAAGAUCGGCUCUGUCCAGCUCCUCUCUGCUCUGUGAGUCUGUGGAGCAUUGAACCAGCUCUCCGGGCCCCAGCAGAGCCUCUGCAUGAGCAGGUGGACCAGCCCAACCGGGCAGUGCCAGACACUGUCCGCAGGCAGCCUGCACGGAUGGUCUUCGGUCACCAGUGAGAGUACUGACACCCCUGCUCAGUGCAGGUGGGACAUUACCCCCCGCAAGAUCUACCUCCUCACCCCCUGCUGUUCCCGCAUUCGGCCAGCCUUGGCCAGUUGUCUGCUUCCUACCUUUGAUGUCUGUCCCUGUACACUGUGCACCAGCCAAAUUUUUUUUUCAGGCAUCACUUUGCACAUGUCACCACUCUCCUUAAAACCAACCUUCAGGGGUCUUCUGCACGUAAACCCCCAUUUUAGCCAGCCUGGGUUACCCGCGCGAGCAAGCGUUUCGGUGUCCCCACCACGCCCAGAUGCACCCCACUCACGCCCAGCUUCUCAGCUCAUUUAUGCUGUUCUCACAUUUUGAAUAUGCACUUUUUCUCUUCCUCCCCCACAUUCUCCUUUCUUCCUUUUGACUAUGUAACAUGGAGAUUAAGACCCCCUUUCUGAAGGGUUGACAGACUCUCACAAAACCAUGGUCAGACCAGGCAGGUACUUUCUUUGUAGGAAGUGUGAGCAGAACCUUGUUCUUUCAGUUCAAAUUCUUUCACUGAUUUCUUAUGUAUUUUUAUUUUUUUAUUUUUUUUAUUUUUAUUUUUUGCGGUACGCGGGCCUCUCACCGUUGUGGCCUCUCCCGUUGCGGAGCACAGGCUCCAGACACGCAGGCUCAGCGGCCAUGGCUCACGGGCCCAGCCGCUCCGCGGCAUGUGGGAUCUUCCUGGACCGGGGCACGAACCCGCGUCCCCUGCAUCGGCAGGCAGACACUCAACCAUUGCGCCACCAGGGAAGCCCUGUAUUUUAAAAUCUUUUCAUUUAUUUAGGUUUUCAAACAGUGUGAUGUAAUAAGAGAUCAUCUUGGUAAUAUUUUAAUCAUCCUUGAGUUUAGUUGUUUGUUUUUGUUUUAUUGUCUUACAUUUUUUCCUUCUUUUAGUUGUUGAGUGUUGCAAAGCUCCAGUUCUUGGUUCUGUUUACUAAUUGAAUUGUUUGUCAAGUACAUGUAUUCUGCUCUUUUCUUUCUUUUUUUUUUGACUUAAUACUUUACAUUUCUUAAGAUUAUUUAGAUACAGUUAAUCAUUUUUAAUAUUUCUAGUAAAUGGGGGUACUUUAGCCUAUGAUUUUUUUUCUUACAGUUAGAGCUUUUUCUGCACUCCGUAAUGUUGACAUGUGUUGUCUUUUGCUGUUGUCCUUAGGACUUUCCCUUUGGCCCAACUAUUAUUAUUGUUAUUGUUAUUAUUUAAUAUUUCCCAGUGAUGACUGCUGAGGUUAUGGCUUUUACUUCUUAUGGUACGUAGUGGUAUCAGCAUUUCUAAGUGUCCAUAGAACUUCUCUGGGCCUGAAUAUAUUAUCAGUUUUUAUAAGACAUUUGUGUACUCUCAAGAAACGUGUUUUUACUCCAUCAGUUCUAUUUGUUAAAUCAGUUUUUAUGUUACUUUAUUCAAAUCCAUACUCUCUCUAACUUUACUUCAGAGUUCUUAACCUGGGGUCCAAGGACUGCCUGGGAGUCCAUGAGCAUGCAGGGGUUUCAGAGGUCAUGGAUGCCGGGCAUUGAACAAAGCUGUGUGGAUAUGUGCGUGCAUAAAUUAUUCUGGGAGGGGGGUCUGUAGCACUCACUACAUUUUGGAAGGGCUCUGUGACCCCAAAGUAGGUAAGAACACUCAUUUACCUAGUCAAAUCACAGUCUGAUUUUGUGUGUUCUUUUCUUUACGUAUUUCUAUUUUGCUUUAAUUUCUGUUUCUUUUUUAUGUAUGUUGUUGCUUUGUGAGUCGUGCAGUUAUCUUCUUAAGAAAUAGGCAGGGUACAAAUGAUCAAGUAAUUACCAUGUUUGGGGCAUAUAUGUUUAAUAGUGACAUAUCGAAAAACUGUGCCUUUUAGUGCCCUCUUUGCCUCUUUUAAUGCUUCUAGCUUCAACUUCUCUUUUCCAAAUAUCAUAAUGGAAGCCCCUUGCUUUUUUUGAAUUUGCAUUUGCAUGAGAGUUUAUUUAGCUCGGCAUUUUAUUUUUAAAAUUUGUGUACAUAUUUUGCUAUAUAUCUGUAACUUAUAAACAGCAAAUUGUUGG